UCUCUCUCUCUCCUUCACAAAAUUCCCAAAUCCAUCACAAAACCUAAUCCAACUCUCUCUCUUCUCUCUGGGCGGAAAUCGCCGCCAUCCGCCACCGCCGCCUCGCGGUCGCCGCUCGUCCUCGGCUGUCCGACGAGCAGGGCUGCCGCCUGCUGCGUCGCUUGGCGCCACUCCGGCCAUCUCCUCUUUUCCCCUCUUCUUCUUUCCUUCUCGGCGGAAAUCGACUCCGUUCGCCCCGCCUCGCGGCCGCCGGAGCACAGCCGUCGGCUCUGCUUGCUGUUUCCCUCCUCCGUCGGCGCAUCUGAAAAUCGGCUUCCCACUCUCGAAUUCCCCUCUCCGUUGAAGCCAUGGAGGAGUUCUCGGCCCGCGCCGCGUCGCCGCUUACGGCGCGACACCUAUCUCUGCCCCCUUUCGGUUCGAGGCCUAAGUCGCCGCUUCCUCACGCUGCAGCUCUAGCAGCGCCGCCGUACGGUCAGUUCACCGGCUCCGUCGUCAUUCGGCCCUAGCUGGACAGCCCUGUUUGGUCCCACUCUCGAUUCCGAAGCUAAGCUCUACUACUCCCUUUCAUUUCUUAAAAUAAUUGUUUGAAGCUUGGGCAGUAGCCCUGUGAUGUUAGAGCUCUUGAUUUAGGUGUUUUAUAGUUGAUUUUGGAGGGAGCAUUAGCUCUCUGGAAUGAGCUUGACCUUGUUUAACUUGCUAUGUUAAAUGUUGUUUCUAUGAUUCUAAGAGUUGGAGUUCUACUGGGGCUUUACUAAUCUGCAGUUAUCCUAUGAGUUUGGUUAAGAAAUGUUGGUCCCUUGAUUAUUAAAGCUCGUUACUUGCUGUGAGGCUGGAUUUAGUAUAGUUAACACUUGUGCUAUGUGAUGAUUGAUCUAAACAUGAUGUAGAUAAGGUGUUGGGGUGUUGAGGUGUUUACCUCUUGAUGAAGUGAAGGAAUGAGGCUGCCCUUGUUGCUGCUUGAGAUCAGCUCCUAAGGCACCAAGCUUUCUAACUCUCUCUGAAUUUUGCUGAUUAUUUUGAGAAGUGUGGGAGGGAGUUCGAAUGUGGUGUGGAGGCCCUUGUUUUAUAGGCUGAUUUUGUGUACCUUAGGGGAGUUAAUGAGGCUGACCUUGUUUGGUUUAUUGCCCAGCAUAUCUCUUGUUCUUGAUCCCCAAAGCAGCCUUUUACAUGACACAUUUUGGUGCUACUUGGAGUACUAGAGUUUGACUAAUUAAUUUAACUUGUUCUCACAUGCUCUCAUAGUACUUUGGUUCAUAUCUUCAUUUGUUUGCAAGCUGCAAGAAAUCUCUCACUUCCUUGAUCUCCACUACUCUUGUUUGAAGGAACUUGGUGUUUUGCUAAGGACAGAGGACUUCUCAUUUACUCACUUUGGUGGUUUGUGUGACUAAGAAAAGCUGGUGUGCCGGCUGUUUUUUUAGAGGAGUAUAAAGGCAGAUUUGGCUUUCCUCAUUUGGGUAGGUCCUUAGUCCUCUAUCACUAAGGUGGGUCACCUUGGCUGCUUUGAUGUUCUCGGAUUCGGCCCGCCGUUCGGCCGAUGGGUUGCUCAAACGGGCCACGAUUUGGGCCUGAGGAGGAAGGCUCGAAAAGCAUCUAAAUUUUAUUUUCUUUGUUUUCUUUCUUUGAAGCCUUGAUCCACAUAUUGUAGUAUUUUUGACAUUAGUUGUUCGUUUGUUGUAUUAGAAAUGUUAUUCGAAAAUUCAUGAUAUUCUACAAUGUAAAUUUCCAAAUUCUUAGUUCAA